AUUGAACGCUGGCGGCAGGCUUAACACAUGCAAGUCGAGCGGGGUGAUGGUGCUUGCACUAUCACUUAGCGGCGGACGGGUGAGUAAUGCUUAGGAAUCUGCCUAUUAGUGGGGGACAACAUCUCGAAAGGGAUGCUAAUACCGCAUACGUCCUACGGGAGAAAGCAGGGGAUCACUUGUGACCUUGCGCUAAUAGAUGAGCCUAAGUCGGAUUAGCUAGUUGGUGGGGUAAAGGCCUACCAAGGCGACGAUCUGUAGCGGGUCUGAGAGGAUGAUCCGCCACACUGGGACUGAGACACGGCCCAGACUCCUACGGGAGGCAGCAGUGGGGAAUAUUGGACAAUGGGGGGAACCCUGAUCCAGCCAUGCCGCGUGUGUGAAGAAGGCCUUAUGGUUGUAAAGCACUUUAAGCGAGGAGGAGGCUCUUUUGGUUAAUACCCAAGGUGAGUGGACGUUACUCGCAGAAUAAGCACCGGCUAACUCUGUGCCAGCAGCCGCCGUAA
rnacentral:rRNA from 1 species